UCGAACGCGUCUCCGUUAAUGAUUUUAGGUGCUUGCACUUGAGAGAUUUAACAUUGAGACGAGUGGCGAACUGGUGAGUAACACGUGGGUAACCUGCCCUUGAAGUAGGGGAUAACACUUGGAAACAGGUGCUAAUACCGUAUAACAACCAAAACCACCUGGUUUUGGUUUAAAAGACGGCUUCGGCUGUCACUUUAGGAUGGACCCGCGGCGUAUUAGCUUGUUGGUAAGGUAACGGCCUACCAAGGCGAUGAUACGUAGCCGACCUGAGAGGGUAAUCGGCCACAUUGGGACUGAGACACUGCCCAAACUCCUACGGGAGGCAGCAGUAGGGAAUCUUCCACAAUGGACGAAAGUCUGAUGGAGCAACGCCGCGUGAGUGAUGAAGGGUUUCGGCUCGUAAAACUCUGUUGUUGGAGAAGAACAGGUGUCAGAGUAACUGUUGACAUCUUGACGGUAUCCAACCAGAAAGCCACGGCUAACUACGUGCCAGCAGCCGCGGUAAUACGUAGGUGGCAAGCGUUGUCCGGAUUUAUUGGGCGUAAAGCGAGCGCAGGCGGUUUUUUAGGUCUGAUGUGAAAGCCUUCGGCUUAACCGGAGAAGUGCAUCGGAAACCGGGAGACUUGAGUGCAGAAGAGGACAGUGGAACUCCAUGUGUAGCGGUGAAAUGCGUAGAUAUAUGGAAGAACACCAGUGGCGAAGGCGGCUGUCUGGUCUGUAACUGACGCUGAGGCUCGAAAGCAUGGGUAGCGAACAGGAUUAGAUACCCUGGUAGUCCAUGCCGUAAACGAUGAGUGCUAAGUGUUGGAGGGUUUCCGCCCUUCAGUGCUGCAGCUA
rnacentral:rRNA from 1 species